AGAACGAACGCUGGCGGCAGGCCUAAUACAUGCAAGUUGAGCGGCCUUAGCAAUAAGGCAGCAGCGCACGGGUGCGUAACGCGUGGGAACGUACCUCUAGGUGGGGAACAACGUCGGGAAACUGACGCUAAUACCCCAUAAUAUCUCCGGAUCAAAGAUUUAUCGCCUAGAGAUCGGCCCGCGUUAGAUUAGCUAGUUGGUGAGGUAAUGGCUCACCAAGGCUACGAUCUAUAGCUGGUCUGAGAGGAUGAUCAGCCACACUGGGACUGAGACACGGCCCAGACUCCUACGGGAGGCAGCAGUAAGGAAUAUUGGACAAUGGGGGCAACCCUGAUCCAGCCAUGCCGCGUGAGUGAUGAAGGCCUUCGGGUUGUAAACUCUUUUAGAUGUGAAGAUGAUGACGGUAGCAUCAGAAAAGCUACCGGCUAACUUCGCGCCGGCGCCGC
rnacentral:rRNA from 1 species